rnacentral:rRNA from 1 species
AUACGGAGGAUCCGAGCGUUAUCCGGAUUUAUUGGGUUUAAAGGGUGCGCAGGCGGCCAUUUAAGUCAGCGGUUAAAUCGUGGGGCUCAACCCCAUUCUGCCGUUGAUACUGGGUGGCUUGAUUGCGGUCGAGGUUGGCGGAAUUCGUUGUGUAGCGGUGAAAUGCAUAGAUAUGACGAAGAACACCGAUUGCGUAGGCAGCUGACCAGACCGCAAAUGACGCUCAUGCACGAAAGUGCGGGGAUCGAACAGGAUUAGAUACCCUGGUAGUCCGCACAGUAAACGAUGAAUGCUUGUUUUCGGCGAUAUAAUGUCGGAGGCAAAGCGAAAGCGAUAAGUAUUCCACCUGGGGAGUACGCCGGCAACGGUGAAACUCAAAGGAAUUGACGGGG